rnacentral:rRNA from 1 species
CCAGGCGCGAAAACUUUACAAUGCUGGCAACAGCGAUAAGGGGACCUCGAGUGCCAGGAUACAAUCUUGGCUGUCGCGAUGCCUAAAAAGCAUUGCAUAGCAAGGGCCGGGCAAGACCGGUGCCAGCCGCCGCGGUAACACCGGCGGCUCGAGUGGUAACCGCUAUUAUUGGGUCUAAAGGGUCUGUAGCCGGCCGGAUAAGUCUUUUGGGAAGUCCAGCUGCUCAACAGUUGGGCUUUCAGAAGAUACUGUUCGGCUCGAGGCCGGGAGAGGUGAGAGGUACUUCAGGGGUAGGGGUGAAAUCUUGUAAUCCUUGAAGGACCACCAGUGGCGAAGGCGUCUCACCAGAACGGACCUGACGGCAAGGGACGAAAGCUAGGGGCACGAACCGGAUUAGAUACCCGGGUAGUCCUAGCCGUAAACGAUACUCGCUAGGUGUCAGCCACGGUGCGACCGUGGUUGGUGCCGUAGGGAAGCCGUGAAGCGAGCCACCUGGGAAGUACGGCCGCAAGGCUGAAACUUAAAGGAAUUGGCGGGGGAGCAC